rnacentral:rRNA from 1 species
GACGAACGCUGGCGGCGUGCCUAAUACAUGCAAGUUGAGCGCUGAAGGUUGGUACUUGUACCCACUGGAUGAGCAGCGAACGGGUGAGUAACGCGUGGGGAAUCUGCCUUUGAGCGGGGGACAACAUUUGGAGACGAAUGCUAAUACCGCAUAAAAACUUUAAACACAAGUUUUAAGUUUGAAAGAUGCAAUUGCAUCACUCAAAGAUGAUCCCGCGUUGUAUUAGCUAGUUGGUGAGGUAAAGGCUCACCAAGGCGAUGAUACAUAGCCGACCUGAGAGGGUGAUCGGCCACAUUGGGACUGAGACACGGCCCAAACUCCUACGGGAGGCAGCAGUAGGGAAUCUUCGGCAAUGGACGAAAGUCUGACCGAGCAACGCCGCGUGAGUGAAGAAGGUUUUCGGAUCGUAAAACUCUGUUGGUAGAGAAGAACGUUGGUGAGAGUGGAAAGCUCAUCAAGUGACGGUAACUACCCAGAAAGGGACGGCUAACUACGUG